rnacentral:rRNA from 1 species
GUGGGGAAUAUUGGACAAUGGGGGGAACCCUGAUCCAGCCAUGCCGCGUGUGUGAAGAAGGCCUUUUGGUUGUAAAGCACUUUAAGUGGGGAGGAGGCUUACCUGGUUAAUACCUAGGCUAAGUGGACGUUACCCACAGAAUAAGCACCGGCUAACUCUGUGCCAGCAGCCGCGGUAAUACAGAGGGUGCGAGCGUUAAUCGGAUUUACUGGGCGUAAAGCGCGCGUAGGUGGUUAAUUAAGUCAAAUGUGAAAUCCCCGAGCUUAACUUGGGAAUUGCAUUCGAUACUGGUUAGCUAGAGUAUGGGAGAGGAUGGUAGAAUUCCAGGUGUAGCGGUGAAAUGCGUAGAGAUCUGGAGGAAUACCGAUGGCGAAGGCAGCCAUCUGGCCUAAUACUGACACUGAGGUGCGAAAGCAUGGGGAGCAAACAGGAUUAGAAACCCUAGUAGUCC